rnacentral:rRNA from 1 species
CGACCGGCGCACGGGUGCGUAACGCGUAUGCAACCUACCUUUAACAGGGGGAUAACACUGAGAAAUUGGUACUAAUACCCCAUAAUAUCAUAGAAGGCAUCUUUUAUGGUUGAAAAAUUCCGAUGGUUAGAGAUGGGCAUGCGUUGUAUUAGCUAGUUGGUGGGGUAACGGCUCACCAAGGCGACGAUACAUAGGGGGACUGAGAGGUUAACCCCCCACACUGGUACUGAGACACGGACCAG